UGCCAGCCUCCGCUGUACUCCUAAUUGGGCUAUCGUUGUUCGGAAUUACUGGGCGUAAAGCGCACGUAGGCGGAUCGUUAAGUGAGGGGUGAAAUCCCAGGGCUCAACCCUGGAACUGCCUUUCAUACUGGCGAUCUUGAGUUCGAGAGAGGUGAGUGGAAUUCCGAGUGUAGAGGUGAAAUUCGUAGAUAUUCGGAGGAACACCAGUGGCGAAGGCGGCUCACUGGCUCGAUACUGACGCUGAGGUGCGAAAGCGUGGGGAGCAAACAGGAUUAGAUA
rnacentral:rRNA from 1 species